UAUUCAACUAAACCAGGAGGAGGCUGAGAGCUUUCCCAUUUCUCCCGCCUGUGCCUAGCUGUUUGGACGUUUUUGUCUAGAUUAUGUGGCAGACUCCUUCCCCCCACCCCCAUCCGUCCUUCCCAUACAGAAUAAAGUCAGUCUGUAUUUAAUGGUUAUGGCGGAUGUGAGGAGGAUUUGGCAAAUGAAGAGGCCUUUUGCUCUCAAAUAUUGCUCCUUACGUCGUAUUCACCUCCGCCUAUUUGCCAUUCUUCUCUUCAUAUGAUGAAUAUACUCCCAGUCUCUUGAACUCAACAUUUUUGUUCCUCUUUUACGCUCUCCAGGGUCACACUGAAAUGUCAAUGCAGGGAGAAGAGCUUAAAACUCACAUCCAUGACAGUUCCAGUGUUACAAGCAAAACCUUGAAAAAUGAACAGUGCAAAAGCCAGAUUUUCAAAACUUAGCUGCCCUGACCCAGUUACACUGUUUACUGCUGAAGAAGUCAGAAAAAGAGAGGAGGAGACAAUCAUCUCAGCCAGCUUGAAGGAACAGGACAAUUCCAGUCACAUACUAUGCAUGUGCCAAUUACAUUGUAUGUGACAUUUGCUAAUUGUAUCUUAUUGUACUCACCAUUCACAACACAAAACUGUAGUGUUGUGCAGCUCUGAAGAUAUUUUUCCAGACUAGAUUCUAAGCUUCAAUUAAUUCUAACAUGAAAUGUAAGUUUAAGUUUACUGUUGUAACCACAGGUCAUAACACAACAUAUCAUAACAUAGGCAUAAAACAUCAUACAUCA